CAUGUCAAAAUUAAGUGCAUAUAAAAAAUUGGAACAUACAGAAGAAAUUAGCAUGGCCUCUGCACACAGGAUAUCAAAUAAGUUUGUGAAAAAGUAUAUAUUUUU
rnacentral:snRNA from 1 species